rnacentral:tRNA from 1 species
UCAGCCGUGGUCCACUGGUUAGCACUCUGGGCUUGUAACCAGAGGGUUGUCGGUUCGAGCCCCGACCAGUGGGC